rnacentral:lncRNA from 1 species
AAAAAAAAAGUUAGUCAAAAUAAAUAUAAUCAAAGAAUAUACUUGAAAAAAAGAGGAGGAAAUUAAGUAAAAAGUUUGCAUUCCUCAUUGAUUAGUAGUGGGGAAUUGGUAGGAAAUCUAUACUCCAAUAUAAGCGAAGAAGGCUUUUUUCCUUUUAACUUAUUUGGACUUGAUUCAAAGUAGGCAAGAGAUAUUUUUGUUCUAAUCAUAUUAUUAUUUUUUACUAAAUCUUUAUGUGCUUGUGUAGAUAUCCGAUGAUCUUUUUCUGAAUAUAAUUUCAAUUGAGUUUGUUUCCAUUAUCAAACCUAUUUUUGGUAAUGUAAAGAAAUACAUACGCCUAUAAUUGCAAUGUUCUUCAAACAAACCCUAAAAAGAAAAAUGGACUCAAAUUAGUAUAUUCUUAAUCAAUAAAAUUUGGAUAAAAUCGUUAAAUUUGGAAUAUAAAGAGGUUCAUACAAGAGUCAUCUCACAAAUUGUCUCUCUGACCAAUACAUUAUAUUGUAAAAGUUGUUUAAGUUAAAAGGAAUACAAAAAAUAACUAGUAAAAUGUAGAGACUUUAUGUUUAUGGUAAGAAACUCUGGAUAAAUAUCCAACCAGUUCAUCAAGAAAAAAUUAAAUCAAAUCCAUAAAUUUGAAGGAGUUUUUUUUAAUCAAACUAAUGUUAGCUAAGGAUAAGAAUCUGUACUUGAUAGUUCAUGAGGUUUAUAUUGAAAAUUCAAUAUCAAGAUCAGUAAAAAUUUCAAGUGGAAUUUAACCAUUAGAAUCUUUAAGUUUCAAAUACAUAUUCAACUCUACAUGCGUUGGCACAAAAUGAAAGCCUAUUUGUAAUAUAUUCUUCUAUUGACAAUCAUAAUCAUGAUUUGAUAAAACCAUGACAAUUCAAAAAACAAACAAAAUAGAGAAAGACUAUACUAUAAAUUUUCAAUAUGAAAUUUUAGAAUUUGUGAAAUAAAGAAUCAGAGAGAAUUGGGUGUAUUUAUACUACUAAUAUUUUAGUCAUCCUAUAUAAUGUACGAUUUAGAUAAGAAAAAUUGAAUACAAUGUGGAAUAGAUUAAUUUUUAAAAAUCCACUUAAUUUGUAACUUAGAUUUGAAAAGGAAAAGAUUAAUUUUGGCAAAUCAUAAAUAAGGAUGUUACUUCACUUUUAUCGAAACAAGUUAGCUAACACUGGUUCGAAUUAUUUGCCAUUGAGGGGCAUUUUAGUUUUUAAAAUAUCCAAAUAAUUAAUAUAUUUGAAUUUUUUUUUGAGAUGCAUGUUUUUUUUAAAAAAUGAAAAGGUUUAGUAUUUCUAUCAAUAGUAUUUGAUUCAUUUUAAUCGUUUGUGGGACUUUGAUUGACACCGAAUUUUUAAAAAAAAAUAAAAUUAACUAUUUGGAUAAAUUUUUGUAUAAUAUGAAAUCGUUUUUAUUUAAAAGGGAAUUACUAAGGGUUUUAAUGUUAUAUUAAAUAGGUGAAUCAAGCAUAAUAAUAGCCUAAAGUCAGAAAAUAAUCACAAGAGGAAGGCACGAAAUUACCUGACCCCACCACAAAUUAACAACAAUUUUUCCUCAAAUGCAAUAAAAAUAUCCAAAAAGUAAAUAAAGAUGACAGAGAGGGAGGUUCAGAGGGAUCAUGUCUAUGCAGUCGCUCGAUUUGUCGAGCAUCAGUGUCGAUGUAACACUUUGAACCUGGGAAGCAGUGCGCGGAGUCGCAUCAAUUGUACCUGCUUUACUAAGUUAGCUAGGGGUGUAUCUUCCAAAGAAGCCUGUACAACUGCAUCUACCAUGACCUCCUCAGUCUGUGUAAGUCCCUCGUAAGAGACCUCGUUAGCAACACCAAACAUCUUCUCAGAGAAGUAAUAGUGACAUUAGAGUCAUCACCUCCUUAGUGUACCCUAGGACACAAUCGAACACAACUAUAUUAGCCAUAAGGGCAUCGAUGUAGCGCUUAAUGGUGUCACAACGUCAACGAAGGUUGUCUGAAUCAUGCCCGAAAUGGAGGCCUCAAGUUUGGCAGAACGACAAUUAACAAAAUGGGCUAUCAGUCUCAUCUGUAGAAAAUACGGCUCGAGUGAGGCGGAGUUUGGGAGUUAGCAGCAGAAGCACCAGAUCUAGGAACUAAGAGUAUCAGAAGGGACAACACUAGAAGUACCUGAUGUCCUAGGGGCCGAAGUAGGAAAAUGUGCCUCUGCAAGUAAUAUUUUUGUAUCCACAAUAGGGUAAGAUUCCAAUGGGACUGCCUUGUUCAUCUCUACUUCAUCGUUCAUGUAUUCUACCGCAAUCAACCUGAUGUCGGCACAUGAUGUGGGGGUCACUUCUGCAUCCUUCUUCGCAUCUUUGAGAACCCAAGCUUCCCUGCACAACUCAGUAAUCAAUCCCAUAAAUAGGAGAUAGGUUUGGCGAUGCUUGUCCCUCAUGACCAUCUCUUGAGCCAUAAUCAUCCCCAAAUUUAAUCUUGUCUCAUCAAUGAUGCAGCCUAAUUAGACUGUCUUGGCAUGGAGGAGAAUUGAAUCAUUUUGGGAUGGCAUAAUGGUAUGGAUGAUGAACCCAAGCCAUAACCUUGCAGCUAUGUUCAUAUCUUUCUUCUCAAUAGAUGCUCUAAUGUCAAGACACUUGGUAGUACCAUCUAAUAUUCGUGCAGCCAACCACUUCUUCAUGUUUUCCAGGGUCUUCGUCCUGAUCAGUUUUGGCAUUCAUCAUCAAUUUGCUUUGAAACACGCAAGAUGGCAUUGAUGGAAUCACUAUCACAUUUCACGUUUCUUUCUUUGACAACCACAUAGUAAACCUACUUGAAUUCAAUGGCCACUUCUUCCCUUGUGGCACCAGGGCACUAUAUACAUUGUCGAAUUCUCGGACCCAAUGUGGAAUGUACGAGACAUUAGGCUUAGUGAUGAGCUGGAACUUGUGAAAUAUCAGGAAGCUCAUGAUUUCUGAUACUCGUCAAUAACUUCAUUUGCGGACAACCUCUUUUUCUUUAUGAUGGUCCUCAAUCCCUCAAUGUUCCAUCUUUCCAUAUACCACGAAAGAGGACCCUGUACCGGUGGUGCUGAGACCAAAACUUGUGCUAGAGUAGAAGGAGAAGUAGUUUCCUGGGUCUUAAUCCUAGACGGAUCAUCUGGUCUGUUUUAACGCAGCUCUACUCUCUACGCUGCCGCUAGUUCAUCUCUUGGCUAAAACUGGCAGCCUAAUGUUCCUGGUUCUCAAAUUCACUCUCAGAAGUCGUAAGGUGAGAGGAAUACAUGUCAUCAAUGUUAGAUCUGGCCUUCGAUGACGCUAGUGUCAGUGUCUUUUCCUUUCCUUUUCCCUUCCCACCUGUUCUGUGAAGUUUGGUGGCCUUAUCCUUAGCCUUGGUUUCAUAUGCAUCUUUCUUUAUUGUUAUUCCCUUCUCUCUCUUGCGGGGUCUAACUGCUACUUUAGGUCUAGCCACAUCUUCAAAAAUAUCAUAUAUUGUUAGAGAUAAUUCAAGAAAAAAUUCAGAAAAAUAGUUUCCUUUAGACUCAUCGAUUCAGUCAACGAGUCGCCGAAUCUCUUUGGUGAGCCAGAUCAAGCUUUCCGAAAGGAUAAGUUAGAAAAUUCCCAAAAAAUAGGUAUUUUGGGAAAUUGCCAACAACAUACAUCGAGCAAAGACUAUCCAGCUGAAAUUUACAAUGCUUUUAGAGAUUAGGAGCGCAAAAAAGAGAGAUCAAGAAACAAAUUUGGCGAGUCACCGACUUCACUCGAUGAACUCAUGCUUCUCACUGAAAAUUACAGAACAUAACUCAAGAAUAAGUAUGAAAUUAAAGACAUAAGGGGACUUUGGUGAACCAUCGAGUAGUUCGGCAAGUUUGACCUAGCUCGCCAAAUGGCUCAAUGUUGUAACACACUGAAAAUUCCAUGACUUAGACUAGAGCUUAAUCUAUUUAAUAAUGCUUAAAUGAUAAACCCAGAAAAUAUAUGUGUCUAGUGAAGAGUCUAUUAGGUUUUAAGAAUAUUUACUAGGAUACAUAGGCAUCCCAAUGCCCAAUAAUGAGUAAUAUUGGGCAUCUUAGAGAAUAUUGGCUUAAGGGUGUAAGCCUAAUUUUAUGCAUUAACAAGUAACUUAACUUACACUUUGAUGUUUAGCCAAUUUCAAUGUAUUACGACAUAACCUAAAUUACACUUUGAUGUUUAGCCAAUUUUUAUGUAUUAAGACAUACUUUGAUGUUAAAAUGCUCCAAUAAAAAGUUGUUUAAGAAUAGUACCCGCAAUGAAGACCCUAAGCUAAAAUAUUAAUUUCUUUGUUGUGCACAUUAGGUAUGAGGCAUCAAAAUGUCAAGCGUAGGUACCAUAUUGCAUAACCAUUUAAAAUGAUGAUGCAGAUUAAGCAUUUCCCAAGGACCUAGUAAGGAUACUUGGGACAACAAGAAGGGCGCAACAACAGAUGUGAUGCCGGCCGAGAGACAAGACACCAAGCCCAACCGAAUUCGGUUAGGGUUGUUAGGGGGCAGGUGCAUGGCGGUCCAAGCCACAUGGGGACAAGAUUCCUAACCAGUCAUAGUCCUGAACUAACUUACCUAACAACAUAACUAACCUAGUACAAACAAAAAUAAACUAACAAGUGCACCCGACAACCUAAGACCUAACCAGGUGACACUAGCCGAGUAAUUAACUAGAGAAACAUCCUAGUACCUAUCCUAGGAUGGUCCAAAGGGGUUCGUUGUGGUCCUAAUGACUUAGGAGUAAUUUAUUUAUUACCCUAGGUCACUUAAUUAAUUAAAUUAGCAACUUAAUUAAUUAAUUUGAAUCCUAGUCAAAACCCGAGACCCUAAGUCAAAUGUUCUCCUAGUUGUAGUCAAUUUAGGAGGGGUGUUUUAGGUAAUUUAAGUGGAGGGUCAUUACGGUAAUUCUUGGGACGUCUAUAUAUUGAUAUUAGGCCAGUUUUAGACAACUUUGACAUGUACCAAAUAAGAAUCAGAUGAAAUUCUCUUAAUCUCUCAACAACGCUUUUUUUUCAAACUCCGUUGAAGAACAAGAAAAAGCUUAAGGAAUAAGACAAAGAUUUCGAAGUUUCCAAUCAGAUUUCGCGGAUUUUUCCUCUCUAUUGUAUGGGUUAUUCAAUCUUGGAAUUCCUUUACUCAAGAAGUACUUUAAAGAUAAGUUCUCAAGAACUUCAAAUCUAGAAUUUUUACUCUACAAAACGGAUUUUAUUCCUAACCCUAGAUUUAUGAUUUUUAUCCAAAAGUAAACGUUUUCUAUGGUUAAUUUCACAUGAAUUGUUGAUUAUUUGAUUGAUAAUGUUUGAAUGUCAUAUGAUACAUGAUCUUUCUCUAAGUGAUGGUUUCAAAUGGUUUGUCUCUAGUGUUUGACAACGUGAAAACAUUAGCGUUAGAAUUUAAGGUUUGAAUGAACCUUUUUUGGACCCGUUUACUUUCUCCUACACUAUGCAUUGAUCUUGUAGCUGAUUUUUAUGAGUUUUUGUUGAUUAUGUUAUUUACUAUUUCACUAAGUAUUAUCAUGAAUAUCGCAUGAUGAAUAAGGUUCUUGGAAACAAAGAGGUCAAUCUUCUAAAUUUGUGAUUUCUCUAAGAUGUUUAUGUCAGCCUAUAAGUUGUGAUGGUAUGUUAUGGAAAGUAUAUAUGAUGCUUCUAUGUGAAUAUGCUAGAUAUGAACAUGUAAAUUGUGAGAUCAUGAUAAGAACAUGAAUAUGCAAGUUUAUGAUAUUCCCUUGUAUGGUUUACACAAGGUGAUUAUGUUAUGUUAAUCUCACAUAAGAAAGGUUACGAUGAAAGGAAAAUUUUCAUCUAAUCAAAAAGAGCUCAUGAUCAUGUUAUACAGGGAGAUAAUCUCCUAUGACCUAUGAUAAGUUUUUGAUAAAAUACAAAUUAAAGGUUAUUUCAAGAUAAGGGACUUAAGUUAAGCACCGAUGAACUAGAUAUGGGAAGUGUUCCUUCCCUAUGGGAAAGUAGGUUCACAAUGAUUCUCAUGAGAUCGAGGUUGUCAUGUAAUCUGGAACUAGGGGUCUCUAAUACAUCUCCUAGUUCUUGAACAAUGCUGCCACCAUAGGAUACUAGCUAUUGGAUCUACCUAUAAAGCUAUUUCAUAUAGGUUCUACUUUUGCCUGUAGACCACCUCUUUUCGAUGUGGGGAAGACACCAGAUUCCCUGUUUAGGUCACAUUGUCUAUGUCGGUUAAUGCUUAUGUUCCCUCAUGUAAAGUGAAAGACAACUAAACGAACGUUGACUAGGGUGACUUGAGGAGUUGGCUUAGUAUAGGUAGUGGUAUGGGAUGCUACCUAGACAUUGCAUAAGUUGACUCUAAGGGAAGUCCUAGGAGAUUAGUUUUAUGUAAUAUGAUGAUAUGAAAGAUAUAUGUUGAUGACAUAUGUUGUUACUCUUACAUGAAUGUUGAUCCUUAUAAUGAAUAUGUUAUUGAGUUAUAUUGUUAUAUGAAGCAAAUUUUUACUUAUGGUCUGCUAUCUUAUCUACUUGGUUAUGUGGGGUUAUGGUCCUUCACAUGACCAUUGAACUUGUAGGUUGGGAUGGGAUCGUUGGUAAGUGUUUUGUAUGCUAUGUUUAUAUGAUUUAUUGAAUAUUAAUUGUCAACGUGACUUUAUGAGAAUAUGCCUUCAAUUAUGAUCAUGCUUUAAGUGAUGCAAUCGUUACUUGUAUAUGUUAUAUGGUAUGUGCAUUGAAGACUUUCAUAUGACUUAGCAUGUUUUCUAAAGAAUGAUAAAUGAUAUAUUUUGAUGCAUGUACUUAUGUGUUAUGUGCAUAUACCCAUACUUAGUACAUGUGUUAUACUAACCGUAUUACUUUACAUUACUACAAAUGUAGGUUCAGGCCACUGAAGUUAAAGAGGUCGAUUUGAAGAAGCUUGGAACUCUUUCUGCAAGUCUUGGUAGGUCCUCAUGUUCGUGACACUAUCACUUAUAUUCCAGCCUAUGAAGACUUAGUAGUUUUUAGAAUACGUUAUUUCCAUUAUGUUCUUUGGAUUCUUUCUGUUUUAUUAAGUUUCGUAAAAAUAAUAUUUAUAUAAGUUUUCGACUUUGUUAGAGUCGUCAAUUAAUUUUUUUGGAUUAAAAUCAAGAUAACUAUUUUUUCAAACGAUUAAAAUAGUAAACCGGUUGAAAAAUGUUUAUGGGGGUUCGGGAAUUCCUAUUAACGUCUUAGGAAAAUUUGGAAGCACCUAAGGCGUCCGCUAACUUGCGGUUAUCCGACACCUAAUUUAUUUUGGCUAAAAAAAAGUUAAACUUCAGUUUGAGAUAAAAAUAAUUUAAAGUUGAUUAAAAAGUGAAGUAUUAACUUAUUAUCGAAUUUUGACUUGCAAAGUACUAUUUAAACUUACUUAGUCGUGGUUGAUUUAAUAGCAUCUUUGUGGGGUUUGGCUGUUUUAACCCUAGAACUAAUGACAGAUAUCGGAAAAUAAGGAAAUAAAUGUGGUAAGUAAAAAAGAGAGAGGGAGAGAUUUGGGUCCAAAUCCGAGUUUUCAGUUCGCCUAGACCAGAAUUUUGGACCCACCUGUUUUGGGUUUUUGACCCAUUUGACUUUUUCGGUUUUCGACCCAUUUUUCUUUCGUACCUGUCCUAGACUAAAAAUACAAUAGUGAUACAGAAAAUAAGAGAUGACAAGGGCUUAGGCCCAAAGAUAACAAAAUACAAAUGUAUAAAAUAAAAAUAAAAGGCCUUCUAGUUUAGCUUCUUCGACUUAUCCCGCUUUGGGACCUGUUCGUCGGUUGUGGGACUGGCCAAUUUGGAAAUGAAUAGUUUGACUCUUUGUGGCUUGACAAGGGAGAUGCAAGGAGAGGAAAUAGAAUCCAAAUGGACUCGAAAAGAGAUCAUACAGCAAACAAAGGAAUAAAAAUUAGUACGGAAAACAUAUUAAAAUCUGAUUUAGUUUUAAGAGAAUUAAGUCUAGGCACUCCAUAAUAAAAAAUGCAAGAAGGAACCCUAUCAUCCAAAAUAAAUAAAAUAAGAUGAAUAAAGAAGGGGUUGCAAAUUUAGAAAAAGAAGCUUGGUAGGUGGCAACAAAUCAUGAACUAAAAAAUGAAGUAAAUACAUAUGACAAUGCAUAUUAGAACUUGAAAAUUUAAGAGAAUUUUAAGAGCAUUAGGCCUAAUUGGAAACAUGCAUAACCAAAAUGCAAAUGAAAAGUCAUAUCGAGUGGUUUAUUAGUCCAAAGUAACAGGCAACACAAACAUGGAUUCAAUCUUUUAUAUCGUUCGGAUCACACAUUUCGACAUACGGAAAGAAAAGCUUCUAAACACUAAACAAAACUUCAAGUCGUAAUCGUUGCUCCUGAAAUGCGAUUCAUAUGUCUUGUAUGAGAAAUAAUAGUUAAGAUAUUUACCUAAGGAAAUCUUCAGCAGUUUUGGAGUAAAUAGAGACGAAGCAAGCAGAGACACUAAGCGGACAGCUUACAUAAAUACUAAGCUUAAGUUAAAAAAAAGGGUUCUUUAUACAUUGGCGAGAGGAUAAGAGAUCUAGCUGGCCAUUUUCUAAGCACAUUAGCACACAAAGGAAUUUGAAAUAAAUGAAUGAAAAAAACUAGGCUAUUUACGGCUUUUGCUGCACUAUUUUAUGGGUUAAAUUCGCCGCUUUCCAAAGUUUAAACAAGUUGACAAAUCGAGCUUACACAAUCAUUUCAAAAGCGAGAGAUGAACGACAUGAGAUCCAACUCCAAUGAUUCUCGGCAGAUUCAUGAUAAAAAAUGAUGUGAAACGAGACAAACAAAAUAAUUUUCAGAUUUGUUCACAACAAUAUUAUGAGAAAACAAAACAAAGGACACACAAUUAUUUUCGACUCGCUACCAAGAUGAACCCAAAAGAAGCCUUUAAAAGCACACAAAUAAAAUAUAUACCAGCUACCACUAUCCAAUGUCGAACGACGAAAGAUACAAUAGCAAAACAAUGGCCUUAAACGCCAUACAACAGAAAACAGAUGAAAAAUAAUACCAUGGAGGAGGCAUUACCUUGAAAGGUGUAGAGAACGGGUAUGGUGACGAGCUCAGAGAGGCAACGACUUCCGACAGGUAACCAAAAUUUCCCCGAAAAAUUACCAGACUUGUUUCAAACUAAAGGUUUCAAACAAAGAAAACAAUUCCCAGAACCUUCCAUUUGGAAUUUCCUCAACAUUUUCUAUGUAUUUUACUUGAAGACCCUCUGUGCUUCUUUUCCCAAAUGCCUUCAACUGAAACUUUAAAGAGAAAAAUUUCAAUCUCUUCCUUCUCAAACUUUAACUUUCUUAAAAAGUUCCCUCAGUUCUUUUGUGUGCAUAAAAUCUUAAAACAAAAAUCCUUUUUCGAAGAUUUUUCUCCCUAUCGGAUUGCGGCUGCAAAAAAAAUCCCCCCAGAGGCUGACCACUGAAGCGAAUAUAUAUAGACGGAAUGAUAUGGGGUGAGAAAUUCCCAAAAAUAUUGGGGCAAAAUCGGGAUUCACUUCCCAUUUUCAAAAUUCAAAUCCCAUUGCAAGGAUGGGAAAGUUGUCCUCCGUACGAGAAACACGUCCAAAUCCCUUGAAAACCAGAUAAGGCAGCAAGGUGAACGACUCUAAAUCGAUUCACGCGUCUUGAUCUUGGCGAUGUGUCCUAAUCUUAAGAUAUCAAGGACAAUAUCGUACUGCCAUGGCAGUUGAUGAAACUUGCACGAAAGAAAAAAAGUGGGGAGAGACGUUGAGGGAAAAUAACACCUUAACAUUCUGGGUUUCUCUGAAAACGGGAGAAGAAACUGGUGGGUUUGCUUGGUGGGCUGCUGAGGGAAUUGGGUUAAAUCAGGCUUGGCAAUUGCUGAAAUGAAAAGAAUUGGACCGGCUAUUUGAAAAAGGAGAAAAGGAUUGUUGAAAAGAGGAUAGGGAUUUGGGCCUACUUGAAGGUAUAGGGUUGGCCCAAUAUAAUUUAAAUUAUUUUAGAAACUCAAGAUUGAAACUAUAAGAUUUCGUAGGACUAAAUUGAAAUCCUCAUUAAAAAUUAAAACAUCUUUUAGAUGAUUUUUGAAAUGCCUAAGAAAACUAGUUAUAUACAAAUUUAUAUAAAACAAUAUUACUACAUUAAAGAUUAUGAAGAACAUGAUUAAAAUAACCCUAGAACUAUUUUAAAUUAUACAUCACUAACUAUAUCAAACCAUCCAAAAAUUUGUGGAACCCGAAAAUUGAUUAUAAUCGAGAAAGGUCAAAAUUUGGGUGUCAACACUUUUGUAAUAAGGCCUAUAUGGAAUAUUGACUAUUAUUGGCUAAGUCCAUAUUUUCACUCUUAGAUGGUUUUAUAUAUAUGAGGCAAUAGUAUUAAAAUAUCGUAUGUUUUUAUAAAUCUUAAGUAUGAAGUCUAAGCAUACUUCAUUAGUAUAUAAAAAGUUUUUAAUUUUCCGCAAAAUUUAAAUGUAUGAUUGUGAUGAAAGCUAAGAAGAGGCAUGUAUGUGAUAUCUGAGAGGUUAACGACGUCGAUCUCAUCUGGUCUAGGAUCCGGGUGUGACAAACAUUCCUACUUUUGACCCCAACUUCUAAAUUCAACCUCGCAUCCCCUGAAAACAUAAUCAAAACAUUUAUAAUUUCAAUUAGGCGUAGAACCAUACUACCCAUAACCUUGAAAUACUUCUGCUGAUUUAGCCAAAUUUGGUGAUUUGAUGACUUUAGCCCUUAAUAAUGACGUCAACGGCUCUGUCACUGGUAAAAUUACAUCAUUUGAUAAAAAUGCGGGUUUCAUAGAAUUUACCCGACUAGACCUUACAACAUUUAAGCAACACCCCAUAAUUUUAAUAAAUUUAAAGCACAAAAUCUCGGGAAAUCAACCAUUUUUGCAUUUUAGGCAAGAUAUUCAAAUUAAAAUAGGCACACGAGCAUACAAUUAUGAUCACAGAGACCCAUCACACAUCACUAAGAUAAAAAAUUCAUUGUAUAAGGUGAAAAUUGCUAAAUAAGAAUUUGUGGUUCACAAAAUCAACCUUAUAAGUCAAACACAUAAGUUGAAAAUCUAGAUGGUAACAUUAUCCAACACUGAGCAGAAACUUGAUGACUAAAAUGCAACAAAAAUGUGAAAAUACAAAAAAUAUUGUGCGGAUGUGAUUCUCGGAAGUUCAAAAGUGAGCAAAAAUGAAAGAGUUUGAAAGUUCAAACCUUUGGUCUUUCAAAAACCGUCGAAUUCUCAUUCAUUCGGUGAAGCACUUACCUCGUAGAGUUUAGAGGACCACCAGUUAAUGUAGGGAUCCAAACGACGGACUAAGUCUUGAUCGCUGAGCUUGUCAGCGAAUGCCAAUUUACUCCUAGGCUCGCUGAGUUGUAAAGACUCCAAUUUCAAAAUGUCUUGAGUCCAUCUGUUGUCCAUGUUGGGCUCAACAACCUCUUUGGCGAGUCAUCGACUGGACUCUUAGCUCGCCAAGCUGCACUUUUUAAAAACAUUCCACAAUUUGACUUGAACAAUCAACACAGCAUUAUUUCAAUAUUAAAAAGGAAGCAGAUAAAGUCUUGGGUUGACUCCGAAAAGCGCCUUAGUUAACGUCGCGGCACAUUGCAAGCUCCCACUUAUUUUUCAUUUCUAGGGUUUGCCUCAUUUUCACAAGGCAACUUACCUUCUUGUUGUGUGUAAAGGAAGGACAACACUAGGUUCAUUUGGGACUUUAGAAGCUGAAUGAACAUGGAAUGAGCGGUUUUCAUCUUAUUCAACAUCAAGAAAUUCUCUUUUAUCUCCCUCAAAACUCUAUCGAAUUUUUAAAUUUUUUGAUGAAUUAGUAAGACUACCUCAUCUAUUUAUCUACCCUUAUGCUUCUUUGUCCUUCGAUGCUCGUGAGCGAGAAUGUACCUAUCUUCUCUUUGAUGUAUUACUUUCAAUUUCUUGACCUUUUUGGCCAAGAUAUUUACAUCACCCAAGAAUGUGGCCAAGUCGUUGUCAAUAUCUGUCUUUUUUUUGUCUUGGCCAUAUGAUCUAGGAGUUGGGAUGCUAUUGCAUAAGGUUGUCGGAUGAGAACACCCAGAGAAAUUUUGUCAGCCACUAUGCCAUUUUCAGGGCCAAGAACCCUUUAGAAGCAUUCCAAAAGCAUCUUAUCUAGAAUUCCAUGAGUUGGCCACUACUACAAUAGUACCUUGAACCUCAACCACAACUCAUGUACUUUCUUUUGUUAUAAACAGGUAACAUAAAAACCACAAUUAAAGUGAGUAGAUACAACUAUAACUAACUAGAACAAAAUUCAACCUAAUUAAAGAAUCUUAACCAACACCACUCCCCGACAACAACUCCAUUUUGAUUUAACGUUUCAAAGACACUUCAUCCAAUUCUAAGUGUGAAUGAUCACUAGUCCAUAUAAUAAAUAACCCAACUAAAUUAGUUGGGGUCAAAUCCCACAAUGAGUGGUACGUGUUUAAGAUUCAAUAAUACAGUAGGAAUAUGUUAAAGUCAAUCAUUGGAAUAGAAAUUUUCGAAUAAAAAAAAAGAUUCAAAUUAACAGAUAGACAUGAGCUUUAAAUAACAGGGGGUUUUGGUUUUAACUAUCAGCUACAACAACAACAACUAACAUGAAAUUAACGAUAUUGAAAUAGGUUCUUGGGAUGUGAUUCGAUUUGUGGCUAAUAUAAACAAAUGGGUAAUUUCAAUUGUUAGUAAAUAGUUGUAUAUCAAUGAAUAAACUAUACUAUAGUGGGGAUAAACAUUCUCUCGAACAAUUUACCCUGAAUCAAUUUGUUUUGUCUCGAACACCAACAAGCAAGCAAUUCACUCUCUCUACCUGAACCCAUGAAAACCCUAUACCCACAGAUCAUCAUUCUAGUAAUCUUUGUUUUAAAAUAUCUCUCGAGAAAGCCAAAAACACGUAGGUAGAACUGCAUUUGCAACUACAAUCCUUUAAUUUAAACCAUAAUUACUUAUUGAAAUCACUUCUUAACAACAUUUAAACUAACAAAUAGCAAUUCACACCCCAAGAAUUGGGAUUUUAACUAGAAAUCAUCAAAAGAUACAAAUUGUUGCUAAAUUGUGUUUCCAUAAACUAGGUAAGAUUAGGAAGAAAGGUUUGUGUGCGGGUGGAAACAUGUGGUUGUGGCUGGUUGUAAAGGCUGAAAAGGUAUGGAUUUUCUUCUCUCUUAGUCCCUUUCCCAAGAGUUCACUAAGGUUCAGUACAUGUUCGAAUCGAAAAACUAAGGUUGUCCCUGUUACAUGCCCCUAUCAUUAGAUCCUCUGAAAAGUGAUUCAUACGUUGGUAUGUUGCUAGUAGAUAAUCUUAGAAAUGUUUUUAAUUGUGUGUAAAUGUGAUGUUUCCGGACAGCGUAUGAUCAUGAUCAUUUUAUGUGUGUCCAACUGUAUGUAUGUUUUAUGUACACAAUAAAGCUAGUUAUUAUGAGAAGCAUAUUAUAGAUUGUUUUCAAGAAAAUGGUGAAUUAUGUUCUAUGCAUUUGUUGUGUUAUUAAGAUAUGAUGAUGUAAUCAUGAUGUUCAUGAACAAGAAAAUAAAAGUAAAUUCCUUACCGAAUUGGUUAAAAUUUUAUGCAAAACUCUUAGCUAAAACGCCUUAGCUAAAUGCAAAGAAAGUGAAUUAAAGGCAUAUGUUAAUGGAGUAUAGUUUCGGCUAUUCUCUAGUAAAAAUGAAGAAAAUUAUAUGCUUCCAUUGAGGGUGGAACUUGAGACCUUAAGGUCCUAAUACUAAGAGGUUAAGCCUUAAAAUAAAAGAAAAGAAAAUGGGGUGAGAGAGGGGAUUCAAACAUGGUCAGGUUGAAAGAAGCUUAGAAAUAAAAGAAAAAGAAAAUAGUGAGGGAAGGGGGAUUCGAACUCGGCUCCUUGGACAAGGAUAUGAGAUACAUAAAUAUCACAACAAAAUAAAAUAAUUAAAAUUGAGGCCCCUGGGAUUCGACCCUAGACCCUCUUGGCCGAAUGAGUGAAGCCAACUAGCACUCCAAAUAAUUACAAAUAAAGUGCUUUCUAAAGGAUUCGAACUUGGGUCCCUUGACUGAAAUUGUGAGACACAUUCAAAUGCAACCACUAAGGAUUGAACUUGGGUCCCUUGGCUGCAUGUGUAACAUGCAUAAGUCUUUAAUAACAUAUACUUAGAUUGUCAUGAAACACUUAGUCAAUUAUGAGUUAUUGGAAUUGGGUAAGAACAUGAGUAAAUGGUAAGAUUAUUAAAUGAACAUUCACGUAAUGAGGUGAGUAGUGACAUUAUACAAUGAUGCUAAUGAAAAUAGUAACUACAUCACAAGAGGCUAAGAUCAAUGGAUGAGAGAGUUAGGAGAAAAAUAAAAUAGAAAAAAUAAAUGUGGUGAAUGGGGAUUGAACCCACAACCUCUUGAAUAGAUGAGAGAGUUAGGAGAAGAAUAAAGAAAAAAAAUAAAUGUGGUAAUUGGGGAUUGAACCAACAACCUCUUGAAUGGAUCAUAGGAGAAAAAUAAAGGAGAAAAAUAAAUGUGGUUAGUGGGGAUUGAACCCAAAACCUCUUGAAUAGAUGAGAGAGUUAGAAAGAGAAAAAAAGAAGAAAACUAAAUAUGGUGAGUGGGGAUUGAACCCACAACCUCUUGAAUGGAUGAGAGAGUUAGGAGAAAAAUAAAGGAGAAAAAAAAUGUGGUGAGUGGGGAUUGAAUCCACAACCUCUUGAAUAGAUGAGAGACUUAGGAUAAAAAAAUAAAGAAGAAAAAUAAAUGUGGUGAGUGGGGAUUGAACCCACAAUUUCAUGAAUAGAUGAGAGAGUUAGGAGAAAAAAAUAAAGAAGAAAUAAAUGUGGUGAGUGGGGAUUGAACCCACAACCUCUUGAAUAGAUGAGAGAGUUAGGAGAAAAAUAAAGGAGAAAACUAAAUGUGGUGAGUGGGGAUUGAACCCACAACCUCUUAAAUAGGUGAGAAAGUUAAAAGAUAAAUUAAAAUAAAAAUAAUGAGCUUGUAGGGGAUUGAACCCACAACCUCCUUGCUUUAAAACGAAAAAGGAGAGGAGAACAAGAAAGAAUAUUAUGCUGUUGAUGGGAAUUGAACUAGGGCCUCCCAAAUCAGAAAAAUACAAUUACCAAAUUUAAAAUAAGAGUAAGUGUUGUUCAAGGGAUUCGAAAUCGGGUUCCCUUGCCCAAUUCUGUAUUGACACAUAAGUCAUAUGUAAAUAAAUAUUUAAUGAAUGCUGCCUCGAAAGAUUGAAAUUAAUAUCUUGGCAUAUCUACAAGAUGCAUAAGUCUUGUACCACAUAAUCUUGGGUAAACAUGAAUCACUUAGACAAACUACGAAUGAAGCUUCAUGGCUUGUAUGUGUGGACUCAUACGUCUAGCAUACGUUUAAAAGUAAGUGAGACUAAGAUGUAUGUGAUAAAAUGAUGUAACUCUAGAAGGGUUAAGUAAGAGUGCAAAACACACUAAAUAGCCAAGUGCAUUGGCAUAUGAUAAAAUGAACAUUCACGUAAAGGGGUGAGUAAUUAUGAAAAGCAAAUGUGUUAAAGUUAAUAAUGAGGUGACAAUAUGAUAAGAGGCUAAUGUGAAAGAUGAGAGCAGCCUAAGUAAAUGUUACCAAUACGUACUCACCAAUGAGAGUGUAAGAUAUUGAAGAGACCAGUCUCUAAGCCUUUUUGGUCGACGAGACUGUGAGGGAACGAAUAUUGGGACUAAACAUGGAAAAUUUCAUUGAGAGGAAUCAGCAAAGAAAAGAAAAACGGGUCAACAACACCAACAUGUGUAUUUGAGAGAUUGUCCUCUUGGGCGGCCGAGAGUGUUGUGUUAUUGUUAUGAGUGUUGUGUUAUUGUUAUGUAAGACCAAGGAGGAUCCUAUCCUAAAGGAGAAGGAGGAGGAGUAGGAGCUAGCCUUAGGGGCGGAAUCGAUUCUAAAAUACAAAAAUGAACGACUUACUAGAAGCUGUCGCACCUUUUGUGACAGGUUUACUAGAA